rnacentral:rRNA from 1 species
UCGAGGAUCUUCUGCAAUGGGCGCAAGCCUGACAGAGCGACGCCGCGUGGGGGAGGAAGGCCUUCGGGUUGUAAACCCCUGUUGCCGGUUAAGAAUGCGGAGGUGCGAACAGCACUUUCCGUUGACCAAGGCCGGUGAGGAAGCCACGGCUAACUUCGUGCCAGCAGCCGCGGUAAGACGAAGGUGGCAAGCGUUGUUCGGAAUCACUGGGCAUAAAGCGGGCGUAGGCGGCCAUGUAAGUCAGGUGUGAAAGCCCUCGGCUCAACCGAGGAACUGCGCCUGAUACUGUGUGGCUUGAGGGUUGGAGGGGAGAGUGGAAUUCCCGGUGGAGCGGUGAAAUGCGUAGAGAUCGGGAAGAACGCCGGCGGCGAAAGCGACUCUCUGGUCAACUUCUGACGCUGAGGCGCGAAAGCUAGGGGAGCAAACGGG